AUUUUUUGGGUAGUGUGGAGGGUAAGUCACUAACAAAUCACUAGGUUAAAACAAACCAAUAGAAAAGGAGACGCUCUCAGGCACACUUAUCCAAGCCCUAAAAUCAGAUAUGGUUCCCGACGCCGGCAGCUCCACAGCUCGCCGGCGUCGCUGCUUCUCGCCAUGCUCUGCUCUCUUCUCUCCUGUUUUUCCUUUUUAUGCUACUUUGCUUCACGGAUCUCUCGAGGCGUUUGGUUUUGUGGUUCUCUCCGUCGUGGAUGGCUUCGCUCGUCGUCGCUGCUACCAAGCCAAAGCCCUCUGGAUCCUUUCUCUCACGUGUAACCUCUUCAGCCGCUACUAACUACGUCUGUUUCAGAUCUACUUUUGACUACUUGUGUGUGGGGAUCCAUACUUAUCCUGGUGGUUUGAACUGAAACUGUAUCUCUCCGGCCAUAUCGUUGGGUUCAAGUUUUGACGGCUGGGGACUCCCACCGCGAAUACCUCCUGCAGCUGUACACACUGACGAUUGCUCAUUCUCUUUAAGCUGGUUAGACUUCAUUGACCUGAGGCUCAACUCUGUUUCGGAUAAACCCUCUUGGCUCCAACACGGUAAUGUUGAAGCUGCGAAAAUUUUAUGCCUGAUCUCAGUUAUUGUCUUCAUGGAAUCCAUCUUCAAGCUCAAUCCUCUUUCAGUCUGGGUGAAGCCACAAAUGUUAGGAUCAUAAGGAUAUACUCUAAUCCUUGGUGCAAUCUUUGGAGGUUUUCCAAAAUGUUCAAGCAUAGCCCACCAUCAAAGUUCAACUCCAACAAGAACAAAUACCAAGAAAUUUAGGUCAGUAAGUUGGAGUCUAUCGAAGCUUGGAGAUUGUAGUCCCUUAGCACUUUUCUUAAUAAAGGCUAGCCAAACUUCCUCGUGUCGGGGCCAUGAGAGACCACUUUUCACCAUCCUCCACUUCGUAGGAGUGACAACUUCCACCAAAAUCCCUCUUCACUCUUUCUUUGGCUAUGUAGUCAAUGAUCAUUGUCGAUUUCCUUACCGUUUGUUGCCUUAUGUGAUGGUUCGUUUGGGACCGGAAGGCAACACAAUACUCGAUUCGAUGAGCAUCGAGGUUAUGGAGCAUUCAACGUCACGAUAUACGGUGACUAUUCCCGUUGAAGAACUUGAAGGACGAUGUAAUCUCUCUUGGAGCUUACUCGUAUGUGGCACCUUUGAACUUUCUUUCGACUUGUUAUCAGGCUUGUCAAAGCUUGUGUCUCUAUCUUUCUAUUGCCUUGUAUUGAAUGUAUCCAGUAGGAUCGCACAUCUACUUUCAGAUGUUGAUUUUAUCUUUCUAGUUGGCUAAGUUUUAUGAAUGAAAUAUGUUGUGUUUCAAAAAAAAAACAAACAAACCAAUAUGAUAAUCACUAUUUU